rnacentral:lncRNA from 1 species
UCAAUUUCAAGAUAACUCUGUUUCAUCUAUAGUAAGGAACUACUUGAGUAAGUAAAGUUUAGAAACUGAUCACAUGGAACUCAGAUCAUGAACACGAGUUUUAACCUUCUAUCUUGAUUCAUUCUAUGAUGUCAUGGAAUUUCUGUAGAUACAACAAGUUUAUCAAAGUUGAGAAAGUUGGAGCACCUAGAUUUAGGCUGUAACCAUUUCAACAUGCCCAUUCUGAAGUCAGUGAGCAAUCUAAAGGCUCUUAAAUUCUUAUCGUUACAACAAAAUGAGAUGGAAGGUCCAAUUUCAAAUACUGGUAC